CCUGACAGCUCAGCUGGUAAAGAAUCUGCCUGCAAUGCAGGAGGCCCCGGUUCGAUUCCGGGGUCAGGA
rnacentral:tRNA from 1 species